CACCAAAAGAAACCAAGGUCUCCUCUCUAUCAGCAAUGAAUAUUGAUCAUAUAGCAUUAAAUGCAAAAUCAAGAACUUCAUAUCCCCUAAAACCCAAACAAAUCCCGCAAGAUUUUCAUCCCUCCCCCUCUAUAACAGGAACAUGUAUAAAUUUAGAGAAACAAGAAAAAGAUAUAGAGAAAUGUACGGGUGUCGGGAGAGGACGAAGCUCACAAAAGGAGAAGUCUUUAUCUGGGGGACGACUGCAGAGAGAUUUCAGAUUAAUGGAUUCAGUCAAAAAAGUACAGUGACCAAUAGGAGAAACAUAACGGGUUUGUUUAAUUCAGUCCUAUCUCUCACUAACCCAGAGCAAACAUGGUAUACAAACCCCAGUUCAUUCCCUUGAUCGGACCCCCCUUGCAUCGAAAUUAACUGGAGAGACCAACUCCUCCUUAAUUUCCUCAUACCAGUUAGUUCCGAACCCAAAACAAAAACAAAGCUUAGCCAAGAAUAAGAAAGAGAGAG
rnacentral:misc_RNA from 1 species